CGUAAGUGUAUUGGGUAGGGGAGCGUUGUAUACGCGGUGAAACAGUAGCGCAAGCGGCUGUGGAGUGUAUAGAAGUGAGAAUGCCGGAAUGAGUAGCGCGAAUGCAGUGAGAAUCUGCAUGGCCGAAAGCCUCAGGUUUCUGGAGGAAGGUUCGUCCGCUCCAGGUUAGUCGGGAGCUAAGGUGAGGCCUAACGGCGUAGCCGAUGCACAGACGGUAGAGAUUCCGUCACCACCAAAAGAGUUAAGCACAGGGACACAUUUGAAGUCUCGGAGCCGGGUGUUGGUUCCGGUAGCGAUCGAGGGAAAUUAGUACCGAAGUCCGGGAUGGAAGAUGGCGAGAAAAGCUGUGUGUAUUUCUGCGGUGCCCGUACCGCAAACCGACACAGGUAGGUAGGAAGAAGAUUCUAAGGCCAACGGGAGAAGGGUUGUUAAGGAACUCGGCAAAUUGACCCCGUAACUUCGGGAGAAGGGGUGCUCCAGAGAUGGAGCCGCAGAGAAUCGGCCCAAGCAACUGUUUACCAAAAACACAGGUUUGUGCUAAAUCGAAAGAUGACGUAUACGAGCUGACGCCUGCCCGGUGCUGGAAGGUUAAGAGGAGAUGUGCAAGCAUUGAAUCGAAGCCCCAGUGAACGGCGGCCGUAACUAUAACGGUCCUAAGGUAGCGAAAUUCCUUGUCAGGUAAGUUCUGACCCGCAUGAAAGGCGUAAUGAUUUGGGCACUGUCUCGACAGCCCGCCCGGCGAAAUUGUAGUACCGGUGAAGAUGCCGGUUACCCGCGACAAGACGGAAAGACCCCAUGGAGCUUUACUGUAGCCUAAUAUUGGGUUUCGAUGUUGCAUGCACAGGAUAGAUGGGACACAGGGAAACAAGUGCUUUGGCAUUUGUGGAGUGGCCGUUGGGAUACCAUCCUUGCGAUAUUGGAAUUCUAACCUGCGCCUUUGAAUCAAGGCGGGGGACAUUGUUAGGUGGGCAGUUUGACUGGGGCGGUCGCCUCCUAAAGAGUAACGGAGGCGUUCAAAGGUUCGCUCAGCUUGAACGGAAAUCAAGCAAAAGAGUGCAAACGCAGAAGCGAGCCUAACUGCGAGACUGACGGGUCGAGCAGUAACGAAAGUUGGAGUUAGUGAUCCGGUGGUAUGUGAGUGGAAAUGCCAUCGCUCAACGGAUAAAAGUUACCCUGGGGAUAACAGGCUGAUCUCCCCCAAGAGUCCACAUCGACGGGGAGGUUUGGCACCUCGAUGUCGGCUCAUCGCAUCCUGGGGCUGUAUUCGGUCCCAAGGGUUUGGCUGUUCGCCAAUUAAAGCGGUACGCGAGCUGGGUUCAGAACGUCGUGAGACAGUUCGGUCCCUAUCUGUCGUGGGCGCAGGAUAUUUGAUGGGAGCUGUUCCUAGUACGAGAGGACCGGAGCGGACGUACCUCUGGCGCACCAGUUGUUCUGCCAAGGGCAUAGCUGGGCAACUAUGUACGGAUCGGAUAAACGCUGAAAGCAUCUAAGCGUGAAGCCGACCCAAAGAUAAGAUAUCCCAUUGUUUCAAACAAGUAAGACCCCUUGAAGACUACAAGGUUGAUAGGCACGAUGUGUAAGUGGAGUGAUCCAUUCAGCAAGCGUGUACUAAUAGGUCGAGGGCUUAACCG
rnacentral:rRNA from 1 species